rnacentral:rRNA from 1 species
UACGUAGGGUGCAAGCGUUAAUCGGAAUUACUGGGCGUAAAGCGUGCGCAGGCGGUUUUGUAAGUCUGUCGUGAAAUCCCCGGGCUCAACCUGGGAAUGGCGAUGGAGACUGCAAGGCUAGAAUCUGGCAGAGGGGGGUAGAAUUCCACGUGUAGCAGUGAAAUGCGUAGAGAUGUGGAGGAACACCGAUGGCGAAGGCAGCCCCCUGGGUCAAGAUUGACGCUCAUGCACGAAAGCGUGGGGAGCAAAGAGGAU